rnacentral:tRNA from 1 species
GAGCGUGCGGCUCAGUGGUAGAGCACGUACUUAGCACGCAUGAGCUCCUGGGUUCAAUCCCCAGGACCUUCA